rnacentral:lncRNA from 1 species
AAGAAAAGGGAGGAGCUGAUGUGUUCUGGGUCCCACAGUUAUGAACUCCCUGUGGGGCAGCCAGUCCCCCUCCCAGACCCUGAUGCUCCAGGUCGGCCUCCUCCUGGCUAUCUCCUCACCAAGCUUCCAGACUGUGGACAACCCCAGCAUCUCGCACACCCUGGAAAGGACUGUGGGGACAUCUGUCCAGCUGCAGCUGACCUCCUCCUUGUACCCGAAUGUCCGAGAGAUUGAGUGGAGUUGGCAUUCUGAGACUGAGAAAGAAGGGAUCCUGGUGUCCUGGAAACUUAAUGCCACUCCUGACUGGUAUGAACUGGAGGAAAAAUACAGGAGCAGCUUCUCUCUGCUAGAGCCAGCAGUUUUGAGCAUCAGGAAUCUCACCACGGAAAUGAGUGGAUGGUAUACAGCAAGGCUCAAAUUCCGCACAGGAAAAUCCCAGAAGGAAGUCUUUAAACUCUGUGUAUAUGAGCCCAUCCCCCACCCCCAGAUCGUGAUUCAUUCAUCAUCCAACCAGGCAGGCUGGUGCAAUGUCAGUCUGGAGUGUGGGACCCCAGGAGCCACAGAGAUCUGGACAGUGACCUGGCUGAGUGAGGGGCUUCCCAGGGAGCUGGAGGAGAGAGAGGCUCUGGGGCCAGCCCCCAGCUCCAGGAAUCUAAGCCUGAGCCUGCCCCUGAGCCAGCUCAAUGGCCCCCUCACCUGCAGGGUCAGCAACCCCGUGGACGAAAAGAAUGCAACCUUACUCCUGCAGAACAUCUGUCUGUGGAAGGGUUCUCAGAGCAAGUGGCUUUGGAGAGGCGUCUUGUUCACAGUUCUGAUGCUGAGCGUGGCCUGCGGAGUGUGCAUCUGGGUGAGGAAGAAGAUACAGUCCAGGAGGGGCAGGUCCGCUCUGCUGCCCACAGAGCUGGGCUCAGCAACGAUGCCCCAGGCCCCGCCCACAGAGGAACCUGUUGGCCUGCGGACUGCAGGGGCCCACAGCCACAGUCCUCCUGACGUGGAGAUCAGCCUCCUGAGACACCCCAAGGGUUACAGGGGUUGAGUCAAGAAGCACAU